rnacentral:tRNA from 1 species
AAGAAUUGAGGUUCAAGAAAAAGCUUCUAACUUUUUUCUUUAAUGGUUUAACUCCAUUUAUUUCUUU